GGAAGGCACUCCUACUAGCAGAACAUGCAAACAUGCUGGAAUUCUGAAAGAAUGCAGUGCACUGUGGGUAAAACAUGGCGUGCCUAUUUUUUGAACUUUGUACAUUGCCCAAAGUUUAGUUAAUAGGGUCCAAAAUGUAGUACAACUAGUUAAAGUAAAACUCCCAGUAUAACAUUGACAGCUAACGUAGAUUGUUAACUUUUCACUUAGGGCAACGGGGAACCCUGUUCCUCCCAUCGCAGCUUCCCAUGAAUGAGGCCUUUUCCGACGAGAACCUUAUUGAAUCUUUAGCCCCGACUGUGAGCAAAUCUACUUAGGAUUGAUGUACAAGCGCCGCGUUAAGCAGGCUAUCGACGCUGAUCCGCCGGGGCUUUACUGCGCCUUCGGAAAAAUCUGCUCUUAUUUUCCUGACGGAGUCAUCUGCUGAGGGAUUUUGGCAUCUCUUUGCCUUUUUUUUUGAGAAAGAAAAAAAAAUGAUGUGGAAAAAAAAGACGGAUUGACUCGUUUUCAGCAAGAUUUCUACCCAAAGACUCACGGAAGAGAGAUUUAUGAAUGCAGACUGUCUACUAUUGUUAUGUCAGAACAAAGGGAACAGAGAGAAAAUCCAUCUUUUGUUAAGGGGAAACUUUCCUGCAUUCAGUGAAUUUUCACAGGGUUUGAUAUAUAUUUUUUUGAUCUCAGUAUUGUUAUUAAAGUCUAUAUUUCUGUCAUACUGACAUGUCAGUUGCAAUAAAGAGACAGCUGGUACUGGCUUCUAACGUACAUAUUGCCUGUGGAAGUGAACACGGAAAAAGAGAAAGAAUAUAAAGUUUUCUGUAACUGUUA